GUGAAAAGUUUUUAAAUUUGAAUUCAUUUGUCUAUUUUAGUAAAGUAUUAUGAGUGGAUUUUUUUUAUUAGUCUAUUUAGAGCAAAAAGAAUGAAAAGUAAUGUUUGAAUGGAAUAAACAAAGCAAAUAAUCUAAAAACAAAUAAAGCAGUUAAUUAUGAAAAAAUAGAAUAUAUCUUUUUCAGAAAAAUACAGCAACUAUGCUACAAUCUUCGAUAAUAAUGCCAAAAUUUGAUGCUUAUCGUUACAGCACCAAAGAUAAAAUUAAACUGAUCUUACUAUUGGUUAGAAUAGCAGUG
rnacentral:lncRNA from 1 species